GUCNGGAUUUAUUGGGCGUAAAGCGAGCGCAGGCGGUUAGAUAANUCUGAAGUUAAAGGCUGUGGCUUAACCAUAGUACGCUUUGGAAACUGUUUAACUUGAGUGCAGAAGGGGAGAGUGGAAUUCCAUGUGUAGCGGUGAAAUGCGUAGAUAUAUGGAGGAACACCGGUGGCGAAAGCGGCUNUCUGGUCUGUAACUGACGCUGAGGCUCGAAAGCGUGGGGAGCGAACAGGAUUAGAUACCCUGGUAGUNCACGCCGUAAACGAUGAGUGCUAGGUGUUAGGCCCUUUCCGGGGCUUAGUGCCGCAGCUAACGCAUUAAGCACUCCGCCUGGGGAGUACGACCGCAAGGUUGAAACUCAAAGGAAUUGACGGGGGCCCGCACAAGCGGUGGAGCAUGUGGUUUAAUUCGAAGCAACGCGAAGAACCUUACCAGGUCUUGACAUCCCGAUGCCCGCUCUAGAGAUAGAGUUUUACUUCGGUACAUCGGUGACAGGUGGUGCAUGGUUGUCGUCAGCUCGUGUCGUGAGAUGUUGGGUUAAGUCCCGCAACGAGCGCAACCCUUAUUGUUAGUUGCCAUCAUUUAGUUGGGCACUCUAGCGAGACUGCCGGUAAUAAACCGGAGGAAGGUGGGGAUGACGUCAAAUCAUCAUGCCCCUUAUGACCUGGGCUACACACGUGCUACAAUGGCUGGUACAACGAGUCGCAAGUCGGUGACGGCAAGCUAAUCUCUUAAAGCCAGUCUCAGUUCGGAUUGUAGGCUGCAACUCGCCUACAUGAAGUCGGAAUCGCUAGUAAUCGCGGAUCAGCACGCCGCGGUGAAUACGUUCCCGGGCCUUGUACACACCGCCCGUCACACCACGAGAGUUUGUAACACCCGAAGUCGGUGAGGUAACCUUUUAGGAGCCAGCCGCC
rnacentral:rRNA from 1 species